GAUGUUGUAGUUCAGUGGUAGAGUACAUGCUUUGUAUAUAUGACGUCCUGGGUUCAAUCCCCAGCUUCUCU